CCUACGGGAGGCAGCAGUGGGGAAUAUUGCACAAUGGGGGAAACCCUGAUGCAGCGACGCCGCGUGAGUGAAGAAGUAAUUCGGUAUGUAAAGCUCUAUCAGCAGGGAAGAAAAUGACGGUACCUGAGUAAUAAGCACCGGCUAACUACGUGCCAGCAGCCGCGGUAAUACGUAGGGGGCAAGCGUUAUCCGGAUUUACUGGGUGUAAAGGGAGCGUAGACGGCAGUGCAAGUCUGGAGUGAAAGGCGGGGGCUCAACCCCCGGACUGCUCUGGAAACUGUACGGCUGGAGUGCAGGAGAGGUAAGUGGAAUUCCUGGUGUAGCGGUGAAAUGCGUAGAUAUUAGGAGGAACACCAGUGGCGAAGGCGGCUUACUGGACUGUAACUGACGUUGAGGCUCGAAAGCGUGGGGAGCAAACAGGAUUAGAUACCCGGGUAGUC
rnacentral:rRNA from 1 species